CACCCAUCCAGCCCUGCAGAAGAUGCUUAAAAAUGUGCUGCACACAGAAACACAGAAGAGUGGCCAGGGAGCUCUGUUCAGUGCUCCAGGGUGAAAGGCUUAUCUGAGGUGACACACCCAGGCAUGGCAUGGUAAACCUGUUUGUUUUUGUUUUUGUUUUAAAUCAGAGCGAAGGUUUCUUCUUGUCUAUUGGCAUUGACUAAGCGGAGCUCCUCUCCUUGAAGGACACCAAUGUCUGGGUGCUAACUCCAGAGAGUAUAUUAUUCAUUUGCUCUGUGACAAGGACCACGCAAAGGAUCUGUGCAGUACUCAGUGUAAGCUCGGAUUCCCAGCAAUGUCCUUCGCCAGGAGGAGUCAAGGUGGACUUGGGGAUGCUGAGAAGAGUGGGCAGAUUUACCACCGAACAGUGUGGCCUGGAUGAGUAUUUCUUUAUCUUCAUGAAAGAUGGGGUUUGCACAUCCUUGGUUUAUUAGUUGUGUGCACAUCAUUGCUUUUUCCAAUGUGUACAAGAAUGUGUUCUUACCAUGAAAAUAACUAUAUUUGCUAACAAAUUUGGGAGUUAGCUAGAUUUAACCAUUCCAUAGUGUAUACAUACUUUAAAGCAUCAUGUUGUACAUGAUAAAAAUAUACAAUGCCAUCUGCCAAUUCAAUAAGCAUUAAAAAUAAAUGAAAUGAAACUAUUAAAAAUAGAAAUCUG
rnacentral:lncRNA from 1 species